UGCGUAGGCGGGUUGGCAGGUCGGAUGUGAAAUCCCCACGGCUUAACCGGGGGCCUGCAUUCGAAACCGCCAAUCUUGAGUACGAGAGAGGAGAGCGGAAUUCCUGGUGUAGCGGUGAAAUGCGUAGAUAUCAGGAAGAACACCUGUGGCGAAGGCGGCUCUCUGGCUCGAUACUGACGCUCAGGCACGAAGGCUAGGGGAGCAAACA
rnacentral:rRNA from 1 species